rnacentral:rRNA from 1 species
CGCGUAGGCGGCCGAUCAAGUCGAGUGUGAAAGCCCCGGGCUCAACCUGGGAAUUGCGCUUGGGACUGGUUGGCUUGAGUUCGGGAGAGGAGCGUGGAAUUCCCAGUGUAGAGGUGAAAUUCGUAGAUAUUGGGAAGAACACCGGUGGCGAAGGCGGCGCUCUGGACCGAGACUGACGCUGAGGCGCGAAAGCGUGGGGAGCAAACA